rnacentral:rRNA from 1 species
CCUACGGGGGGCAGCAGCAAGGAAUCUUCCGCAAUGGGGGCAACCCUGACGGAGCAACGCCGCGUGGGGGAUGACGCCCUUCGGGGUGUAAACCCCUUUUCUGGGGGACGAAGGCGGGGCAACUCGCUUGACGGUACCGCAGGAAGAAGGACCGGCUAACUACGUGCCAGCAGCCGCGGUAAUACGUAGGGUCCGAGCGUUGUCCGGAGUUACUGGGCGUAAAGGGCGCGCAGGCGGCGGUGCUGGCCCGGCGUGAAAGCCCCCGGCUCAACCGGGGAGGGUCGUCGGGGACCGCACCGCUUGAGGGCGGUAGGGGCUGGUGGAAUGCCUGGUGUAGUGGUGAAAUGCGUAGAGAUCAGGCGGAACACCCGUGGCGAAGGCGGCCAGCUGGGCCGACCCUGACGCUGAGGCGCGAAGGCGUGGGGAGCGAACGGGAUUA